AGCACAUGCUACCAAUUAUUUUUUCUUCUUUAGCUUAUGGGUUAUUGCAUUACCCCUCACUUUUGCUUGUAAUUACAAUCUCAUAUAUCUUCAAAACAUUGAUAAAAUUGUAGCAAUGAACUUUCAACUUUAACCCAAUUAAAAUAAAAGUUUAUCAACUAAAAAUUUAUGAUCAUCGGUCCCUUAAUUUAUUAAAACGUGAGUUAUAAUCUUUUUUAUCAAUUUUGUUAGAAUUCCGUCAAGAAGAAUUAUACUGACAAAACUAUUGAUACAAUUGAAUAACAGUUGAAUGAUCAUUUCUAUAACUUUACGGGUUUAUGAAUCCGAAAGAUGUUUUUCUUAGAAAUUGCUAUUUUAAUUAUUUUAUAUGAUUUUUGUAUAUUAUUUAAAUGUUUUCUAAUUAGAUAUUUUAAAUAUUUUAUAUUAUUUUAUUUUGUGGCCCGUGGGGCCCACACCCCACUUCCCUUCCUUCCCCGUGUCAAUUCUCUUCCUAAUCUCUCGGGAACUCUCUGGAACACUCUCCCUCGUCUCUCUCCCUCCUCCCUCUGCAACAACAAGAACGACCCGAGGCACCACCUUGCCUCGCCCCUCCGGCGAGCUUCACCGCCACUAACAACCAUCACUUUCUACCCUGCACCUCCCCGUUCCCCUCGUCCCGCUCUCUCUCCUCUUUGCUCGAGGCACAGCUGCAGCAAUGGCAGCCACCAUCGCCAUACAUCCCGGCGAGAUUUCACGGUGCUCCGACCUGGGAACAGAGAAAGCAAGAAACUCAGUUUUCCGGCGAGGGUCCGACGGCUUUUGAGCCGUUUAAAGGCCACUUCCCGGCCACGGCAGGGCCAAAUAUUGGUAUAUUUCUAAUCCUCUCGUCCGUAACUUCAAUUUGGUAUAUAAUAUGUCUAGGUUUUGUUAGGUUUUGGGGUUGAUCGGAGCUCGGGGAGCUCCAGCGUUCUUCUUCGUGGAGUCCUUUUAACUAAAUUUACAACGGACCCGUUAGUGAUAGAAUGGUGAAAUUCACUUACCUUGCGAUCCUUGACAUCUGCCUAACAAUGUGAAUGGCACACGGACUACAAAUAAUGGAAAGCUUUCCAAAUUGAAAUUCAUGCCCCUUUCAAUGAGUGCCUAGGAACUAAUGGCAUUGAACAAGACAUGGAGAUAAGCAUAUUAAUUUUCAAUUCCUUGAAUCAAUGUUGUAUGACCAGGAUGGAUGGAAGGUUUGGCAUCUCGAUUGAACUUUAUGGGCAUGUUUGAUACGCAUGAUCGAUUUGGCUCGGACUAAUUGUAGGGAAUGGUUUGAAUUGGUUUGGCUUGGACUGAUUGUAGGGAACGGUUUGAAUUGGUUUGGCUCGGACUAAUUGUAGGGAAUUGUUUGAUACGCAAGUUCGAUUUUGAUAGCAGAUGAAAGCCAGACGUUGAAGCUUCGAUUUUGACAACAGAUGAAAGCCAGACGUUGAAGCUAAAAGCGAGAUUCAUCAUUGUUGUGAGGUUUCCUUUCCUUGUGUCUCAAGUAGACCUGGCAUUUUGGACCCAACCCGUUAAUAUUAGUAUUUGGGUAGAUGCUUAACGGGUCGGGUCGUUAACGGGUCAACCUGUUAAAUAAUGGGUCACUUUGGAUCACUUUGGGUCAACCUGUUAGCACCCUUAUAAAUUAUAUUGGAAUGCUCCCUCGAGCCGCUUUGGGUCUUCCGCUCCCUCCACCAUCUCUCCCAAGAAAUCUCCUCCCUCAAGCCGCUCCAGUUCCUCCUGCGCCGCACCUCUCACUCCGUGUUCCGCAGGUCAACCCUCCUCUCCAUCCUCCUUAGUGCAGAAAUUAGGAGAGACAUAAGCCACCUCCUGCAAGUGUUUAGGUUCAUGGUAACAAACUCUUUCUUCAAAGAUUGUCCUGACAAACCUUUGAAAUUUCCUACUGUAGCAAUUAAAGAAAGCGCGGGUGAGGAAGAGGUGGCUGAAAAGUUCUCCUCACUUGCAGAGAAAGAUGCUUUAAAGGGAAGUGAUAAAUCCAUGGUUGGAAGAGAAACAUGCUUUGAAAUUUCUCACUUGCAGAGAGGAGCUUGAGAGUCUCCAGGAAGAGUUCUAGAACCAGACGAAGGAGAAAUCCAAGUCGCAGCUCCUUGUCGUCAGCACCCUUUUAUACAUCAUUGCAGUUAAUGUGUAAUUGUAUAGGAAUGCAAAAAAAAAAAAAAAAAAAAAAAAAAAAAAUUGAAACUGGUGUUAACUGGUGAUCUAUUAGAUUAACGGGUUGAGUUUGGAUGACCCGUUAGCUUAACGGGUCGGGUUUGGAUGAUCUGUUAGCUUAACAGGUCGGAUUGAACCCAACCCAAACCUGAUAAACCCAACCCGUUUACAGGUCUAGUGUCAAGUUAGGGGUUUGGAUUGGUUCUAUUGAGGCCCGUCAUUUUGAUCCUCAUCCGUUUGGUUCAAGCUGAGAUUGGUGUUACAUGUGCAGAACAGUUUAUAAUAGCAUUAUCUCCUGCAACCCUUCGCAACUGCAAGAUAAUUCACAAUCAAAGA